rnacentral:rRNA from 1 species
CAGCAGCCGCGGGAAUACAGAGGGUGCGAGCGUUAAUCGGAUUUACUGGGCGUAAAGCGUGCGUAGGCGGCUUCUUAAGUCGGAUGUGAAAUCCCUGAGCUUAACUUAGGAAUUGCAUUCGAUACUGGGAAGCUAGAGUAUGGGAGAGGAUGGUAGAAUUCCAGGUGUAGCGGUGAAAUGCGUAGAGAUCUGGAGGAAUACCGAUGGCGAAGGCAGCCAUCUGGCCUAAUACUGACGCUGAGGUACGAAAGCAUGGGGAGCAAACAGGAUUAGAUACCCGAGUAGUCCCUGUCUCUUAUAA